GUGGGGAAGGAUCUCUGGUUGAAGAUCCCUUCCUCAUGGAGUGUCCUUUGCGAGCAUAGCUCUUCAGAGGCAGUGUUACCCAGAAAUUGUUUGGUCAUGCUAAAAAUCCAGAUCACAUAGGGAAAAUGGGGAGGACAAGUAGAAAAAGAUGUGCAGCUAAAAGAACAGAACCUCCAUCUACCAGAAGCACUUUCAUCUCAAAAAUGCCACAAGCACAAGCAGAUGUGGGAGCAACCCCCAAGCAACGAGCCCAACCUUUGAAGAAGGAAACAGGACUAGCAAGUUGGUUGGUAAAGGACGCUAUUUGAGAUCAAGGCUGCACCAGGAGCUACAAAAGCAAUGCCCUGAUGAUGAGAGAUGGCCCUGUGUGAGGGCUGCCACACUGCGAUUUGUGCCUUAGGAGUGGCACUGUCCCUGGAAGCUGACUCUGGGGAGGGCCUUCCUGUGCCACCCCUCAGCCCUCCGAGACUCCCUGGCUGGCCAGAUGUUGCAGUGCCCCUUUCUGCCAGAGCUUUCCAAGUCUUGGGCAAUAUAUCAAGGAAAGCUAUUUUAAUCCAUUCCGCUUCCCUUGUUGGCCGACAUCCAGGUCAUCACUCCGCACACUUUGCAUUAUGCAGUUCGGAUCGAUUUCUGUUCAUCUUCCCAUGGAUUUGUGCUUUAAUUUCCCUUUCACUAACUCACUUCACAGCCAUGCCUGUAAAUGACAGUGCAAGCAGAGUGCUCGACGGGAAAAGAAGUUGUUGGGGAAUUAUCUUCAAAUCUAGGAGACAUGGAGCAGCAUGCCCUCAAACAUGCAGCUCUAGGAGCCCCGUGCAGCAUAGAAGGCCUGCAGUGAGAGGAGCACUACCUACACAUAAUGGUGACUUUUCUUGGCCCUCAUGUCCCAGUCAGAUGACAUACUGGGAGAGAGUGAUCAGGGAGAGUGCUUUUCUGGAAAUCCUCCUUUGGGAGUGAGCUUCCAUCCUUCACUGCAUGUGCG